rnacentral:antisense_RNA from 1 species
GCUCUCCCAGAGGUCCAGGUCCGGGAGAUGACAGUGGCUCCCAGAAAGCCCAGGAUUCAAUCGCUGAGAGAGUGCUUCGGCCCGAAUGCCGGCCCGAAUCGUUCUACUCACCGUGUCGGAGGCCGAGGCCGAGGCCGAGAGCGAUGAGAGUGCAGGGAAGUGGGGAAGAGGGGGUGGCCGCCAGGCUCCUCCGCUUCCCUGGGUCCACCGCGGAUCCCUCCCGCUUGUCAGGAGGCGGCCAGCGGGGGCAGGAGACGAAGGGACGGGCCGAGCGGGUCGGGGCUUGCCAUUUGACUGGAAUUGCCAGAAUGGCGGACCGAGCCCCACGACAACCUACCUCCCUGGGCUCCUCGCCGCGGCGCUGCGGCUCGCCUCCCUCUGCUCCUCCUCCUCCGCCGGAUCGCGGCGAGCGGAUCGAGGACUGCCUAGCGCCCCUCUGCCCACCGGUGGUUGGAGGCCGCGGCGGCUGCGCGUUGAGUCGUUUCCUGCCGGUUGACCUGAGCCUACUUUGCAGUAGCAGGACCGCUGCUGUGGAGCUGGUCGCGGGUGGUGUGUGCCAGUCGCCUAGUCAGGAGGACUAGUCCUCGACUCACGGUGAGGGAAUGGACCGACACGGGUAUUGUACCGCUGAGGGAAAGGAGCGGGACUCCGGACCUCCAGGAGGUAGGGAGUGAGGCCAGUAGGUCCGGCGCGCCUCCGGGGGGAUUCCUCCCGGGCGUUGAGUUGCCAACCUGGGACCCGAGGAAGAUCGGCGUGGUGGUGUGCUUUUUGUUGUUGUUAACCCUCCUCGGAUUUCUCGAAUUUCACACCACUGUCCAUAUGCGAUGAUGUUUGUUUGCCCUUGACGCAGUUACUCAUGGAUGGUACUUCUUCAGCCUCGUUAGACAGCCUGGUGAUGGAGGAUGAAGAAA